rnacentral:rRNA from 1 species
UACGUAGGGUGCGAGCGUUGUCCGGAAUUAUUGGGCGUAAAGAGCUUGUAGGCGGUUUGUCGCGUCUGCUGUGAAAACUGGAGGCUCAACCCCCAGCCUGCAGUGGGUACGGGCAGACUAGAGUGCGGUAGGGGAGAUUGGAAUUCCUGGUGUAGCGGUGGAAUGCGCAGAGAUCCGGAGGAACACCAGCGGCGAAGGCGGCAUCCUGGACUGGUCCUGACGCUCAGGAGCGAAAGCGUGGGGAGCGAUCCGG